rnacentral:rRNA from 1 species
UCGAACGAAUCCCGGGUAGCAAUACCCGGGGGAAGUGGCGAAAGGGGCAGUAAGGCGUGGGUAACCCCCCCCGGGGACCGGCAUAGCCUCUCUAACGAGAGGGUAAUUCCGGGCGCGGUAGCCGGUCCGCAUGGGCCGGCUAUGGGAGGAGUUUCGCCCCGGGACGGGCCCACGUGGUAUUAGCUAGACGGCGGGGUAACGGCCCACCGUGGCGAAGAUGCCUAGCAGGUGUGAGAGCACGACCUGCGCCACUGGCACUGAGACACUGGCCAGACUCCUACGGGAGGCUGCAGUCGAGGAUCUUCGGCAAUGGGCGCAAGCCUGACCGAGCGACGCCGCGUGCGCGACGAAGGCCUUCGGGUUGUAAAGCGCUGUCGAGGGGGAGGAAGGCCCGCGAGGGCUUGACCUAUCCCUGGAGGAAGGGCGGGCUAAGUUCGUGCCAGCAGCCGCGGUAAGACGAACCGCCCGAACGUUG